UCCGCUGGUUCCAGUAUAUUUUGACUUGAAGCUCCCCCAUGCCCUCUCUGCCAACAGAGAUGAAGUGAGAGUUGCAAUGGUCUCUGCAUCUGCUGUUGCUUAGCUGAGCCAUGGAGAGUUCUGUAGGCAGAGGACAUCAAGUGAGCAGCAUCUCCGAGGUCCAACAUGGUCUUCUUGGAAAGGCAGCUGAGUGGCUGCGUCCACAGCUCUUCCCUUGAGUGGAGGGUGACCCUGUGGGCCUCCUCGUCUUCUGCUGGGCAACUGAACACCUGCUUCCAGGAGUGUGCCAGGGGAGCCACCCCCUAGACUCCUGGGCUGGUCAGCUCUGGGUCCUCCUGCAUGCUCAGUGUGUUGCUGACACCUCUGGCCAUUCUGUAUCGUGGGAAGCUCAGGGACUCUUGGAGAGGCCCUCCCACUCUCAGGUUGUGUAUCUAGACAAAGGUCAAAGGUCAGUUCUCUACCUUCCGCGUGCUCAGCUGGUGAGCACUGGCUAUGGCAGCCAGCAGUGCCCACGGCAGUUGGUGGUGCUGCUGUGAGUCUCACAAUUCCGAGCCCCCAGAUUUCUACUGCCUGGAAGGACCAGCUGGUCUCAGGGGUCCUUGGAGUCUACCUCACCCAUCCUCUUCAUAUUUAUAGAUGGGAAAACUGAGAUCCAAAGGGCAGAAGUGGGUUGUUCAAUCUUCUCAGACUCUUCAUGGCAGGAAGACCCAAAGUUGAACCCCACUGCAGCCCAGCACCAGGGAUUUAGGAUGGCUGUUUCUUUCCUCAUUCAUCCCAACAAAGGAUACCAAAUGGGCCUGUUCAGGCUGAGCACCUGAGGAAGGCAGGUUUGCAUGAUCCAGCAUGGACUUGACUCGAGAGACACACAGGUGAAGUCAUUCAGCUUGAAGCCUUUCAUCGCUGGCUUUUCCACUUGGCACAAUGCCUUUUCUCCAACAUUUUUAUUAAGAAUUUUCAGUCAAGAAGUGAAUCACCAAGCAUAGACUACUUUCUUGCAGUACAACUUAUCCAUGCGGAGAACUGCCAUUUAAAGAGCAAAACUUUUAAUUUUAAUAAAAUCAUUA